rnacentral:rRNA from 1 species
CUGCUGCCUCCCGUAGGAGUCUGGGCCGUAUCUCAGUCCCAAUGUGGCCGGCCAACCUCUCAGUCCGGCUACUGAUCGUCGCCUUGGUAGGCCGUUACCCUACCAACUAGCUAAUCAGACGCGAGGCCAUCUCUCAGCGAUAAAUCUUUGGCAUCUGUACCAUGCGAUACCUAUGCAUUAUGCGGUAUUAGCAGUCGUUUCCAACUGUUGUCCCCCUCUGAAAGGCAGGUUCCUCACGUCCG